AAAAGAUAAUAGCUCCUCCAAUCUCUCUGCUCAACUUCUCUGUGUCAAAAUAUAUUUAAAUGGAAGCAUCUAUUUUGAACACAAAGUAUGAAGAUAGUGAUAAAAAGACAUUGAAAGAUUUGGCUGGUGAAAUCCUGUAUGACAUGCAGGAAAUUCAGGAAUGCACCUCUACCACUGCAGUUGUUGCAUCCAACAGAGGGGCAAGAAGUGUAAAAUCUUCCAAAUCAUGCUAUGAUACAAUUUCUGAGAAACCAUGUUGCACAAAUAGAAAGUUCAGAGCUUCAAAGCAAAUCUGGCGUCCACUUUCAGGAGGAACUAUUCCAAGCAUUCUCGGCAAAGAAUCUGUUAAUUCCACACUAGUAGCCAACUCUUCCUGUAUGGAAACCAAACCAAUGAAAUUGGAUGCAAAGGAAUUGCCAAUGUCUGAACUGUGGGGAGAGGAAACUAAACUGAACCCAUCAAAGAAAGAUCACAUGUAUAAGGAUAUCGGAGAUUUUCUUUUCAGAAUGCUAGGAGAUGGCUUUCAGCUGGAAAGAGACGAGAUUCGACAAGUUCUUGAUAAAUGUGGAUAUGACGUGCAAAAGAGCAUGGAGAAACUAUUAGAUUUGUCUGCAGAGACUUUGGAUGAAGCGAACAAAUCCCUUGGUAAAUCCACUGAAAAGAAUGUAGAUGUGCAUUCAAAUUCUGAUGAACAUUCUUAUCAAAACAAAGUGCCACCAAUGAAUUUUUCCCAUGAGGGUGAUGCCAAUGGAAUUUCAAAUAUAAAUGAGGGAGGUCUACCUGGACAAGAGGAGAGAAAUGAUAUUCAGAAGGAAGUAUUUGUUGCAUUGUUUAAUGUUGCUGACAGAUCUGAAGGGUUAUCUAGAAGAGUAGCAAGGACAGCGAGGAGGCCUAGGGUAUUAGGAGAACUGGUUGUUGAACCUCCAAAAGACUUUACCUUAGAACACAAACCUGAUUCUGUUGUUUCAAAGCAAGAUAAUGGCAAUGAUGAUGAUGAAGAGGAUAGUUACCAGAAGCUUCGUAGAGCUGUGAAGGAGUAUCGGGUCACAAUGAAGGAAUAUUAUAAAGCUGCGGUCAAUGCAUUCGCAAAGGGAGACUAUGAUCGAGCUAACAAACUUAUGGAUGAGGUAAGGCUUCUGACUGUCAUCUCAACGGAGUAUAACCAGUGGUAAUAAUUUCUUCUACUUAUAAUUAUCAUUUUUAUUUUUUCUUCGACCAUGUGACAGGCACUCAGAGUCAAAAUAUAGGUGUGGUUUAUUUAUUUUUCAUAGUUGGUAAGCUGGGUGAACCACAAGAUAAAAACCAAAAUUUGCCUUAAGGUUUAAA
rnacentral:misc_RNA from 1 species